rnacentral:rRNA from 1 species
CGGGAAGAGCCCAAACCAACAAGCUUGCUUGUUGGGGUUGUAGGACACUCUAUACGGAGUUACAAAGGACGACAUUAGACGAAUCAUCUGGAAAGAUGAAUCAAAGAAGGUAAUAAUCCUGUAGUCGAAAAUGUUGUCUCUCUUGAGUGGAUCCUGAGUACGACGGAGCACGUGAAAUUCCGUCGGAAUCUGGGAGGACCAUCUCCUAAGGCUAAAUACUCUCUAGUGACCGAUAGUGAACCAGUACCGUGAGGGAAAGGUGAAAAGCACCCCGGAAGGGGAGUGAAAUAGAACCUGAAACCGUGUGCUUACAAGUAGUCAGAGCCCGUUAAUGGGUGAUGGCGUGCCUUUUGUAGAAUGAACCGGCGAGUUACGAUUUGAUGCAA